AGCGAACGCUGGCGGCAGGCUUAACACAUGCAAGUCGAACGGGCGUAGCAAUACGUCAGUGGCAGACGGGUGAGUAACGCGUGGGAACGUACCUUUUGGUUCGGAACAACCCAGGGAAACUUGGGCUAAUACCGGAUAAGCCCUUACGGGGAAAGAUUUAUCGCCGAAAGAUCGGCCCGCGUCUGAUUAGCUUGUUGGUGAGGUAACGGCUCACCAAGGCGACGAUCAGUAGCUGGUCUGAGAGGAUGAUCAGCCACAUUGGGACUGAGACACGGCCCAAACUCCUACGGGAGGCAGCAGUGGGGAAUAUUGGACAAUGGGCGCAAGCCUGAUCCAGCCAUGCCGCGUGAGUGAUGAAGGCCCUAGGGUUGUAAAGCUCUUUUGUGCGGGAAGAUAAUGACGGUACCGCAAGAAUAAGCCCCCGGCUAACUUCGUGCCAGCCGCCGCCGUAAU
rnacentral:rRNA from 1 species